AAGCUGCCUGCGAACGUGUUGGACGCGACCGAGCACGCACUUCCAUUCGAAAGCCUGACGAUGUGCCACCUCCCGGGCCGUUGUUGACGCGGUGAAUCGAGGCGGAAAAAUCGAUUGUGCUCGUGUGAUUAUUUUUGUUUUGAUUUGCGGCCUCCCGCUCUCGUAAUCCUCGCGCGGCCUCGGCCACAUGACUCAUGCCAGGCAGGAACAAUGAAAAACCACAAUAAGUACGUCAAAUUGCCCCAAGACCUCGAUCUGAGUUUCCACAGUGAUUUGGACCUGCUGCCGGAUACGGCGGCCGACAUCGACGUAGAACUAGACCCGGCUGCGGACACGGAUGUGGCCGCGCUCAGUGUGAACGUGCCCGCGUCUCUGGGCCUGGACGAGGACGACGACGACGAGGUCAUCAUCGCCCCCGGCGGCGGAGGACUUCGACUAGCUCCCACGGCGGCGGAGGCAGUGGCGGCACACAGGCAGCACCAGCAGCGCAAGCAGCUGAAGAACCAGCUGGAGCAGAAGCAGAUCCUGCCCAAGAGCAAGAUCUGCGGACUAGGCAGCGACAGCAUCGUCGAGACGGGCCUAACCCUCACACCUGAAAUGCUGUUAUCCACCUCGGAAUCAUCGACCCACAGUGCCUCCGAGGUCGCCGGACGACUGCAGGUCGACGUGCGUACCGGCCUCAAAUGGACGGAGGCCAAGUAUCGUGCCAAGAUCAUCGGGCAUAACGAGCUGCUGCUCGUGGCGGAGGAUCCCACAUGGAAAAAAUACAUUGAGCAGUUUAGGAACCCGCUAAUUCUGCUGCUUCUUGGUUCUGCUCUGGUGUCCGUAAUCAUGAAGCAGUUUGACGACGCCGUGAGCAUAACCAUUGCCAUCCUAAUCGUGGUCACGGUGGCCUUCAUUCAGGAGUACCGCUCCGAGAAGAGUCUGGAGGAGCUAAAGAAGCUGGUGCCCCCUGAAUGCCACUGCCUGCGGGAAGGUCGACUAGACACCUUCCUGGCACGCGAACUGGUGCCCGGGGACAUAGUGCACCUCAACGUGGGCGACCGGGUGCCGGCCGACGUGCGUCUUUUUGAAGCUGUGGACCUAUCUAUCGACGAGAGCAGUUUUACCGGCGAAACAGAGCCGGCGCGCAAGAUUACCGAUGUUUUGCUGAACAAUACGAACGUAAAGGACCACAGCAACAUGAAGAACAUUGCCUUCAUGGGCACUCUGGUGCGAUGUGGCAACGGCAAGGGCAUAGUUGUUAGCACUGGGGAGCGCAGUGAGUUCGGUGAAGUCUUCAAAAUGAUGCAGGCAGAGGAGGCUCCGAAGACGCCACUCCAGAAGUCGAUGGACAUUCUAGGCGCUCAGUUGAGCUUCUACUCCUUCCUGAUUAUCGGUGUCAUCAUGCUGCUGGGCUGGCUACAAGGUAAGCCGCUCUCGGAAAUGUUCAAUAUCAGCGUUUCACUGGCCGUUGCGGCCAUCCCCGAGGGCCUUCCUAUCGUGGUAACUGUGACUCUGGCGCUUGGCGUAAUGCGGAUGGCUAAACGAAAUUCCAUCGUUAAAAAGCUGCCUACUGUUGAGACCUUGGGCUGCGUAAACGUUAUCUGCUCUGACAAGACGGGAACUUUGACCAAGAACGAGAUGACGGCCACGAUCAUUAUCACUUCCGACGGCUACAUGGCGGACGUGACCGGUGCCGGUUACAAUGACCAGGGUGAAAUCCACAUACGGCAUUGCAACAACGUGGAGAUGGCUAAGACCAAUAUUACAAACCUUCUUGAAAUCGGGGCGGUCUGCAAUAACGCUUACAUACAAAAUGGCACCCUGCUAGGACAACCCACCGAGGGAGCCCUUGUGGCGGUUGCCAUGAAGAACGGAAUGUACGCCACAGCUGAGAACUACGUUCGCAUCCAGGAGUAUCCCUUCAGCUCGGAGCAGAAGAUGAUGGCUGUGAAGUGCAUCCACAAGUACAACAACAACAAGGAAGAGAUUUUCUUCGCCAAGGGGGCUCUAGAGACCCUGUUGCCGCAGUGCACCAAGUAUCAGUUCGGUACCCAGACGGUACCACUUACCAAGCAGAACGAGGCCGAGUUCCUAGCCGAGGCGUACGAGAUCGGGCGCAAGGGCCUGCGCGUGUUGGCCCUGGCAAAGGGCCGGUCCAUGCAAGAUCUGAUCUACUGCGGCCUAGUCGGCAUCACUGACCCACCGAGGCCCCUUGUUCGAGAGUCCAUUGAAAUGUUGAUGCAGAGCGGAGUGCGUGUCAAAAUGGUGACUGGAGAUGCCCAGGAAACGGCCUUGGCCAUUGCGAAUCUCAUCGGUAUCGAUACAAUUCACCACCAGACGCUUUCCGGUCAGGAAAUGGAUCAAAUGAACGAGCACCAACUGGACAAGGUAGCCAACAACGUGAGCGUCUUCUACCGCGUAUCGCCACGCCACAAACUGGAGAUAGUCAAGUCCUUGCAGCGCAGUGGCAACAUAGUCGGCAUGACUGGCGACGGGGUGAACGACGGAGUAGCUCUGAAGAAGGCUGACAUCGGCAUUGCCAUGGGUAAGAACGGGACGGAUGUGUGUAAGGAGGCGGCUGAUAUGAUUCUGGUCAAUGAUGAUUUCCACACCAUAAUCGCCGCCAUCGAGGAGGGCAAGGGCAUAUUCUACAACAUUCGCAACUUCGUGCGCUUUCAGCUUAGCACAUCAAUAGCUGCCCUGGCCCUGAUUGCCCUGGCCACUCUGAUGGACAUUGCUAACCCGCUGAAUGCCAUGCAGAUUUUGUGGAUCAACAUCAUAAUGGACGGUCCGCCCGCACAGUCUCUGGGUGUGGAGCCCGUCGACCACGAUGUGCUCAAACAGAAACCACGGAACGUGAAACAACCGAUGAUCACAAAGUCUGUGGUGGUGAACGUUCUACUGAGUGCCAGCAUAAUUGUACUGGGCACGCUGUGGGUGUUCCAGCGCGAAAUGGCCGACGGGACGCUGGGAAAGACCAAGCGGGACACGACGAUGACCUUUACUUGUUUCGUGUUUUUCGACAUGUUUAACGCCCUGUCUUGCCGCUCGCAGACAAAGAGUGUCUUUACCAUCGGACUCACUACCAAUCGGAUGUUCUUGCUGGCCGUCGCUUUCUCGAUCAUUGGUCAAAUGCUCGUUGUCUACUUUCCGCCGCUGCAAAUGGUUUUCCAGACGGAAGCUCUUACGCCGUAUGACAUAUUCUUCCUGGUCUCCCUAACCUCGUCUGUGCUGGUUGUUUCAGAGAUAAAGAAAUGGUUCGAGCGUACCAUGGAGCGCAAGAUGUACAGCACCCGCUCCGAGCUGGAUUUUGUAUGACAAAACGCAAGCGCUAGAGAAGAUUUGCACCCCAAAGCCGAGUAAAUUAAAUAACUAACAAAAAAUCCAUAAAAAAAGUAAAACUAUGCCAAAACAAGCGAGGAGCGCGGCGAAGUGCAGUUAGAGAGAAAAGCCGAAAACAAGAGCGACGGAGCAAGGAUGUGUGUGUUUAACUUUACAUUUGACUUGACCAAUUAAGAAUGAUUUAAUUGUUACUGUGGGUUUUCAACCAGAUUGCACAGCAGGGAUUUUCAUAGAUUUGAAGUAAGCUUCCAGAUCUUACUCGUUCUUCCCCACAGCGAAGCAACCGGAUUAUAAAUCAAGUGACCACUUACUAUAAUCCGAGUAUAUUCCCCGGGAAAGUGCAAUACCACUAGGUCACAGUCAACAUACAUAAGAAUAAAACGGAAGCGAGUCAAAAAGGCAUGAAAUGGACAAGCUAAGCGAGGCGUAGUUAAAGUAAAACAUGGUUUUUUUGGUAUUAUUGAUGAAUAAUUUAUUCGGUAUUUGAAAGCAAGCAAUCAAUUUGUGUAAAAUUGAGGCAAAUCAAAACUCUAGCGUGCUAUCAAAAUAAAACAAUUUUUGACGAAGACAUCUCCAAAACAACUUUAAAUGGAGAGUUCAGAUCAACAAAAGAUUUUUGUAUGUAAUCAAAAAUGCUAUAAUUUCCGCAUACUGUGUGGGCGUUGAUUUGAUGCUUUGGUAAUUAAGUUCAUUAUUAAUGGGUUUACCAAAACGGAAUAAUGCACCAAGCAAAUGCGAAAUCUUACGAAGCAAUCAGCACCACGUUUACUCGAAUGUAAAGCAAUUUUCGCUCAUAUACUUAAAUAAAAAUAAAUUCAUAGGAAAACACGGUUCUGUGUACUAUUCUGUUGCUUGUAGGUUGAAUUGAACUCUAAUGCAAUAGUUUACUAAACGGCAACAGAAAUUUACAAGUAUAGCCUAUCCAGAUUGUAAUCAAAAGUAUACAUCUCAAUAAUAAAUUAAUACAUUUUGAAAAAAUAAACAAAUUCAGUAGAUUACCAACACUUGUCUACCCCUUAUAAAUUAACGUAAAUAUCAUUGACAUAAAAUUCAUAUCAUACCAACUCAGAGUUCACUGUUGCACUGGAAGCAUAUCACAAUUUGUCCAUGUUUUUAUACCCGUUAUUUGUAGAGCAAAAGGCAAUUCUUUAUUCGUAGAAAUGUUAACCCUAUUAAAGAAUAUAUAUUCUUGAUCGAGAUCACUGGCCCGGCCCGUCUGUCUGUCCGUCCGUAUGUCUGUCCGUAUAAACGUUGAAAUCUUGGCAGAUAUAAAAGCUACAGACACAAACGCGACCCAUAACUGCAACGGCCACAUUUUAUAGAAAUGAUUUUAUAUUUUAAAGUUAUAAGUCUUGUCAAUUCCUGAUAUGCCCACAUUUUUUUUUUAAUUUUGAUAUUUUUUUAUCAAAUUCUAUCGAUAAUUAAGAACAACUUUGAAAUACUUCCCUGGCACUCCCACUAUUUGAGUAACGGGUAUCUAAUAGUCGAGAAAUUCGACUUUAGCGUUCUCUCUUGUUUUUAUUUGAAUGAGCUUGUAUGUCAACAUUUUUCACGAAUUUAAAACUUGGUUUUAGCAAUUUAUGUGCACACUGCAGAUCGCAUUCAAAGGACCAAUCGUUAAUAAUUCAUUUGAUCACACACAUUAAGAUCAGCUUACGCUCAACAAAAACGCACUCAUAUAUCACGGCAAAAAAAAAAUGAAAAAACUUAAAAACAAAAAAAAAAGAAAAACCAGGAAAAAUAAUUGAUAAAAAUGCUCGUUCAACACAGCAAGCAAUUGAAGGUUCAUAAUAAUAUCAGCGCAUAAAAGCAUACUAAAAGUACAUCGGCAGACAACCAGAGACACACAUUCCCACACACGUUCAGUCACAUCUCAUCCACAAUGGUAACAAUAAUUAGAAAAAUAAGCGUAUUAAUAUAGAGUAAAAAGUAUGAAUGUCUGGAGGACUAAAUAAAGUGCACCAAAUAAAAUAAAUAUGUUAGUCAAAGCAGGUAUACAUUAUGGAAUUAAAACUAAACUCUACUCAAUGUUAUGUGUAAGCAAAGUCCGAAAUUCGACUUAUAAUGAAUGAUGAUACUAAACGAAUUCUUAACCACUGAAAUAUUCAUUGAUCGUCUAUUAAUAUAUAUGUAAGUUUAAAUGUCUAACUGGACCGCCUAAUUUAAGAGCUCCGAAAAAUGUGUUGCCUAAAUUCACCAUUUACCAAAAUAGUUUAAAUAGUUUGGUGCAAAGAAAUGUACAAUUGAUGACAACCGUACGAGUUCUUAAAAUCCAUUUCUAAAAAACGCUUAACCUAUAAAAAUUAACUAUAACUAUCUGUGCUAUUAAAUUUAAGCUAUAAAAUAUAGACAAAUACCAAGAGUAAUGCAAACAUACAUUCAAACAUAUUUCGAGAAUAAUAAGAACCCUGAGAAAUGGCAUAAAGUAAAUUGAACCAUCAUCGUUUGUUUUACCAAAGCUAUCCCCUAAAAGUGUAUAUCAUUUUAUAAAUUUAACAAUAUUGGGGCAAGAUCUUAGGCAUAAAAUGAAUUUUGCAAUGGCAACCAUAUAUUUAAUAUUAAUCUGCGGAAUAUCGUAAAACAAGUAUUUACCGAAUAUAAUAAACUUUAUGUAGUACAGUA